rnacentral:lncRNA from 1 species
AGAGCGUUCUCUGCACUCCCAUCGAAACCACAGGCUCCAGCUCUCUGUGCUACCUGUGGCUAUAUAGCCUGCUCACAGGAUCUAGGUCCCGUGACACUGGAUGUGACCAACUGCCAACAGAGAGAAGAAAGACAGAAGCAGCUGCUUAAAAGCCAAGCCCGGGGUUUGGAAGUUGUCUCUAAGAUGGCAACAGGCUCUUGGGAUCAGACAAAUCAGCUCCUUUGGAGAAAAAAGCCUUCUGCUCAGACACGGCAGGGAUAAAAUACCGAGGAGGAACUUCAUAGCUCAGAGCACAAGUGUGACUAUUUCCCCACCAGCCCAACCCACUGCUCAAGGUGAUAACCCUGACUCCCCUGUUGUGAUCACUGGCAAUGGAGGGCUGUACUGUUAUCCCCUGUCCUUAGCAAAGUUGUCCUGGGCUCGGUCUGGAAUCUUGCUGGACCUCUGACUCCAUCUUGAGUGGCCUGUGGGGCAUCGUUAGCCGAACUGGGUUUCUUGUGGUCAUGGAAGAUACAAAAGAGCUGGUGGGGUGGCCACGUCAAGGCCUGGCUUGUACAGGGGACCUUCUCUCACCAGGAACCACGGGAGGCCUGACCUCGGUGCAAGGCCACAUGGAAAAGCUGGCAAAACAGCCUGCCAUCGGCAGAGCACAGGAAGCGGUUUGCUCUGUGGCUACACCACCCAUGUGUUACACAAUGUGAUACGACGGGGGAGAAGUGGCCUUUCUUCCUCUUCCAAAUUAAAAUAGCCUUUCCUUAACGAA